ACGAACGCUGGCGGCGUGCUUAACACAUGCAAGUCGAACGAUGAUCAGGAGCUUGCUCCUGUGAUUAGUGGCGAACGGGUGAGUAACACGUGAGUAACCUGCCCUUGACUCUGGGAUAAGCGUUGGAAACGACGUCUAAUACCGGAUAUGACCCUCGCCGGCAUCGGCUGGGGGUGGAAAGAAUUUUGGUCAAGGAUGGACUCGCGGCCUAUCAGGUAGUUGGUGAGGUAAUGGCUCACCAAGCCGACGACGGGUAGCCG
rnacentral:rRNA from 1 species